UUCCGAUGAGCAAUGUCUUGCGCGAUG
rnacentral:sRNA from 1 species